UAAGGUGGGAACUCUAAAGAGACUGCCGGCGACAAGCCGGAGGAAGGCGGGGACGACGUCAAGUCAUCAUGGCCCUUAUGCCUUGGGCUACACACAUGCUACAAUGGCGGAUACAAUGGGUUGCCAAACUGUGAAGUGGAGCCAAUCCCAUCAAAGUCCGUCUCAGUUCGGAUUGCAGGCUGCAACUCGCCUGCAUGAAGUUGGAAUCGCUAGUAAUCGCGCAUCAGCCAUGGCGCGGUGAAUACGUUCCCGGACCUUGUACACACCGCCCGUCAAGCCAUGGAAGCUGGGGGUGCCUAAAGAUGGUGACUUUACGGGGAGCUAUCUAAGGUAAAACUAGUGACUGGGGCUAAGUCGUAACAAGGUAGCCGUAA
rnacentral:rRNA from 1 species